UACUACUAAGUCAAAAAGCUUUCUUUUUCUCCAAAUUGCUCUGCUAGUAUCAUUGCUUUAGUUAAAAACACUUUUAACAUCCUUCCUUCUGAAAAUUUUGGUAAGUAUUUAGGUUUUACAAUCUUAAACCACAAACCUAAAUGUGCCAACUUUCAGUUUAUUCUUGACAAUAUGAGGAAAAAACUUUCUCCCUGGAAAACAACCUUUCUUUCUCCCGUGGGUAGACUUGUGUUAGCAAAAUCCACCCUCAAUGCCAUCCCCGCUUCCACUAUGCAAUACUUCAAGCUUCUAAAGAAAAUCUAUAACUCUAUUGACCAAAUCCAACGGGACUUCCUUUGGGGAUCUAUGACCCAAAAGUAUAAACUCCACUACUUAGCAUGGGAUAAGGUCAUCUCCCACAGAAAAUGGAGGUCUUGCCUCUUAACAUUGCAAAAGAAAAAACCAGUCUCUUCUAACAAGCCUCUCUUGGAGGAUUGUCACUAACCCUUCAGCCUUGUAGGUUUUCAUUUUAACUUCCAAAUACAAUCGCCAACAAACUCACUCUUCUACCUCUUUUAUAUGGAAAAAUAUCCUUUUAGGUGGAGCUAUUUGUAACCAAGCAAUUGCGUGGGCCUUUGCAACGGGACAUACUAUUAAUCUUUGGUCCUAUCGUUGGGUGCCGAACACCCCUCCACUUCGCCAGCUUCUCCAUGGGCCUCUUAAUUAAGGGGAACAUAUGCUAUCCCUUGCGGAUAUGUGGAAUGAAACCACUUGGGAUUGGAAUAAAAUCUCCUUUGACAUCACUCAAGAUAUAAUCAUCAAGGCAAAUAUUGAGGAACUUAGGGAGUCCAGCAGUGCAACAUAACUUUAGACAAGCCAAUGGAGUAGUUGAUCGACUAUCUCGCCUAGGUUCUCAACUAACAAUGACCAACUCUCAUGAUGUUUUGUCCUCUCCGCCUGAUGAAGUCAAAGCACAAAUUAAACUGGAUCGAGAUGGAGCUAUAUAUAGUUAUCUAGUUUCAUGGUCAACAUGUAAUAAGUUAGUUUGUUUAGGGAACCAAUCCAUAAUAUAUACUAUGCAUAGUUCUAACUUUAUUUUGUCCAACUCAACUAUGAGUUUGGAUUCUAGUAGUAACAUUUCAAUGCAGAACACUACCAGCAAUAGUUCAUAU